rnacentral:misc_RNA from 1 species
GAAAUGCGAUAAGUAAUGUGAAUUGCAGAAUUCAGUGAAUCAUCGAAUCUUUGAACGCACAUUGCGCCCGCCAGUAUUCUGGCGGGCAUGCCUGUCCGAGCGUCAUUUCAACCAUCAAGCCCCCGAGCUUGUGUUGGGGACCUGCGGCUGCCCGCAGGCCCUGAAAACCAGUGGCGGGCUCGCUGUCACACCGAGCGUAGUAGCAAUCACCUCGCUCAGGGCGUGCUGCGGGUUCCGGCCGUUAAACAGCCUUACAAAACCCAAGGUUGACCUCGGAUCAGGUAGGAAUACCCGCUGAACUUAAGC